ACUUGCUCAUGCUCUAUUUGUUCCAGUCCAUAGGCACAUGAUGCCCUUCUCCUGUGCCUGCUGAAGUCCUAGCAUCUCCCCUCCAGGGACUGCAGUGAGCUCACACAACCCUGGACUCAAACUCUUGUCAUCAUGAUCUUGCAAUGAUGCCCACUCCACGCCUUGAAACAGACUCCCAGAAGUGCCAGUGAGCAAACGUGAGGAUGGGUUGUUUAGUCUUCAUGGUGGCAACAACAGAAGAAACUGAGGUACAGAGUCAUAUCUCAAACCUGUGAAGAGGAUCCAUCCACAACUCGAGCUGCCUCCCUGUUGCUCCGCAUUUCUGGUUCCCCAGAAGAUGAACCCUACCUUAGAGAGAAGAGACAGAGAAGGAAGAAGCCCCACUGCCUACUGUUGGCCCACUGUGGACAGGCUGCUGCUGCUGCUGCUGCCAGGAGCUCUCGGGGGUGACCCUAGACAAGGAGAAUCUUCCCAGGGAAAUCCUGGGAGGGGCUAACUAAAGCCACGUAGAGUAGGCAGCAACUUCUCUCCAAGCCACAGUCCAAUGGCAGGCUCAAUUAUGCAGCCUCCUUCAAUGGAGCCAUCUCUCCCAGCCUCGCCUUCUGCCCCUCCUCCAGCUUGCCGGGCCUAUAUCAUCAGCUUCCAUGCUCCAAAAGAAGAAAACUACUUAUUGAGCAGAAGCAAAUGCUACUGAUAAUUUAACACAUACUGCACACCACACCUUUACACAAAUAUCAAUGCAUUUAGUUCUCACAACAAAUCUAUGAGAAUAUCAUACCCAUUUACCAGAUGAGUAAAUUGAGUCACCUGGAUUCUAAUUCACAUUGACUGACUCCAAAGACUAUAUUUUUUUCACACCAGUGUGUCAGCCACCAUCUUUCUACCUUAUUAUGUGUUACCCCCUCUGGGGCCUGUUUGCAUUUUUUUCAAAGGAGCCUGAAAAGGGUAAGACUAAAGAUAAAUACCACAUAUAAUCUCUUACCACGAACGUCUGCAACCUCACCCAUGCCAGAUGAAUGGUAUUUCCAGACUUUGGGUCUUAAUGUCUAAAGAUUUUUUUCCUUUUGCUACACUUGAUCUAGCACCACUGGCUUCUGGGUGCAUUCUUUGAUUUUCUGAUUUAUUGUGGGGAUUAAGAAAUGGAAUGUGUUAAAUGCAUUUGCACAAGUGCAAUUCAACAUGUUAAGACAGGAUUGACCUGCCAAAACAUCUAAGUGUCUGAGAACCAUCAACACCUGCCAUGCCAGAGGAUCGCUGUGAUGUCCCUGUCACCACCAUUGCACUCUGACCUCAUCUCCAGCUGGAGCACACCACAGUCACAGCCCAGUCCCUCCAGGAAACCUUCCUUCAGUUAUCAAGAUGGUAGGGUGUGUUUUUAAAUGAGUGAUCAUUUUAACAAUCCUGCAUUUGAAAGCUUUCCAAUAUUCAGAUUAUUAUAUUAGUUUCUAGGGCUGCCAUGACAAAGUACCUGAAACCGGAUGGCUUAGAACAACAGGAAUGUAUUCUCUCUUAGUACUAGAGGCCAGAAGUCUGAAAUCAAGGAGUCAGCAAAGGCCAUGCUCCCUCUGAAUCUGUUCCAGGCCUCUCUCUUAGCUUCUAGUGGUUGCCAGCAAUCCUCAACAUUUCUUGGCUUGUAGAUGUAUGAUUCCAGUCUCUGCCUCUGUCUUCACAAGGCCUUCUCUUCUCUGUGUGUCUGUCUCCACCUUUCACUUUUGUUAUAAGGACACCCAUCCUAAUCCAGAAUGAUCUCAUCCUAACUUGCCUACAUUUGCAAAGACGCUGUUUCCAAAUAAGCUCACAUUCACAGGUACCAGGGAUUAGGACUUCUACGUAUCUUUUCUUGAGACACAAUUCAAUCUACAACAACUACCUUUUCCAGAUAUCAAUAAUCAAUCAUGGCCUAUUCUACUAGGCACACUAGAUACAGCGAUCCUCCAGGCAGCCGGCCUGGCUGUACCUACCAGCAAUCAGAGCUGACACCUGCGGUGAAGCCGAUUUGCCAUCACAAUUCUCACUAAAGGAAUGAGUCUGAAAUGACCGCAAUCUAACAUGUGGUGAUGAGCCUGCUGGGGAGAUCAUGCCAGCAUCCUUCAAGCCCGGGUGUGGGUGGCCAGUUGACUGUAUGCAUAAAGUGGGUCCUGCUGGGGAGGGAGUCAUCACACUGUCUCUUUGGCCUGGCAGGGACUAUGUACACCUGACCAGAGCCCUGGAUUCACAAGGGAGAUAUUCCCGGUGCCUUUUCUGAGUUCGCAAUCCACAUGCAUUGUAGUAUGGCCUGGUUCCAACUUCACUCCAUGCAUACAUUUCUCCUUCCUAUACCCCCUGCAAAUUGGAAAUAGUGAUACACAGCCAUCUCACAGGGCUGUUGGGCAAUUUAAUUAAUGUUUAUAAAGCACUCUGAGGUCUUCAGAUGAAAACUGCUGUGUAAGUACAAAAUUAUUAUUAGUUCUCAGCCUCCUGUCCCUUGACUUCUGACAUAGGCUUUUGUUGUUCCUGAAUGGGAGCCGUUUAUGGGCUGUCCAGCUGGCUCUUUUGGGUACAUACACAUUUACAGAUUUUUUUCCCUUUGAAAAAAGCAUUCCAACUCUGUGGGAUGUCUCAAAGCUUUUCAAUGUCUGAAUUUCUCUCUACUUGUCUCUACUAAGUACUGUAAUCUACAAGAGUAGAUUGUAAACAGGCUACUUUUGCAAAGAGUUGGGGCGGGGGACAGGAAAUGGUCAAUUUGAAGAAAUAGCUCCUCUUAUAAUGAAGAAUAAAACAAUAUCUCCUUCUCAUGCAGAAUCUAAAUGAACCACUAAGUGAGGUCUGUCUCCCUCGCCCAGAGGGAUACUGUACGUGUUUAUGCAUUGAAAGAAGAAAAGAAUAGAAGAUUUGCUUCCACUGCUCACAUUUUGCCUCCUUCCUUCACCCUAACUUCUCAGGAACCAUGGAAACAAAUACACCCCACCUAGAUGAUGUUUUCCUGAUAGUCCUUUGUUGCCUCACUGUGCGCUGCCUGGGAUCCCACAGGGAGAAUGAAAUAAAAAAGUGGAAAAGAAGAAAGAUAUGUCUGCAAGUGAAAUGUCUUGUCUCCGAAGGACAGAGUGGGGCUCGUGUGUGAUUUAUCAAGCUCUGGGGGCAAUAAACAAUGUUAUAUUCCUUUUCCUUUUCCCUAAGACGUAUUCACACCCGUCCCACAUCACUCAGGCACAACCCAUCACAUUCCCUUGAAGGUAUCUUUUGGUUGAUCAUUAUGCUUUGUUAGCAGUGUUUGUUAGUCAGCCAACUGCUGGAAGAUUUUAUUUUUAAAAAUUGCUCAGGAGCAAUUAUAUAACAUGUAAUCCGUUGGACAAAAGUAUAAAGGCACAAAAUCAAUGAAAGGAUCAAAUGUUAGUUACAGGGUUAUAAACACAGGAAGAAAUAAACCAGAAGAGCUCAGAUGGUGCACACCGUGUUUUCUAAGUCAACCAAUCACCGAUUAAAUAGAAUAUCAAAUUAUAUAAGAGAAAAAUAGGAAUAUUCUUCCGGGACAGGAAUGCAAAUUACAUAAGGGAAAAACCAGGACUAUUCUUCCGGGAGAGGAAUGUUGAGGCUGAAGUGGGAGGAAAGAAGGAUAAAACUAGCGUGAAACACGUGAAGUCUAUGGCUGCAGCAGCGGUAGUGUUUUAUUAGCUACGGGGAUGACUGUGAAACAGGGAGAACAUUUUCCAUGGUCUCCAACGAUUGAGCUCUGUCUUUUAGGUAGAGAUAAGGAUGGGAGAGAUAGGUUCUUUUCUUUUGCAUUCUGUUAAUUUUUUUUUUUUUUUUUUGAGACAGUCUCUCUCUGUCGCCCAGGCUGGAGUGCAGUGGCGCAAUCUCGGCUCACUGCA
rnacentral:lncRNA from 10 species